rnacentral:rRNA from 1 species
UUCGGAGGAUCUGGCAAAUGACUGAGCGGCGGACGGGUGAGUAACGCGUGGGUAACCUGCCUCAUACAGGGGAAUAACAGUUAGAAAUGGCUGCUAAUGCCGCAUAAGCGCACAGUACCGCAUGGUACGGUGUGAAAAACUCCGGUGGUGUGAGAUGGACCCGCGUCUGAUUAGCUGGUUGGAGGGGUAACGGCCCACCAAGGCGACGAUCAGUAGCCGGUCUGAGAGGAUGAACGGCCACACUGGAACUGAGACACGGUCCAGACUCC